CUGGACCCUGAAUUCAGAACCAUCAUUGACAGUCAUUGCCCCAAAAGUGAAGGACACCAUCUACAGGUUUUAAAUUUGGAAAUGGACCGCUUAGCAACAAGCUCGCGUUGAGCGUGAUCAACACAGGAAAAAGAAUAUGGCGAAAGGACGGAUCGUGCAGACAAUUUUAAACCAUCGUGACUCCAAAUCGCCGCGUAAUCCGUUCAGGUAACAAUUUCACAAAGCUGCUGCCGCCGCUAUGAGUUUCUGAUCGGACGAAUCGAUUUUCUUGUUUACCGCGACCUCACAGACUCAGGUAACAUUAACGACCGUUGGUUCCGACGGCGGCCCUCCUCAGCAUUCUCAAGAAGGAUCCGGAGAAUAGCACCGAUGAGGACAGUUCCGUGCAGCAAGCAAAAAAGCAAAAAAGGAAAU
rnacentral:lncRNA from 1 species